UCAAGUAAUUAAGUGCAUGUGGUGGAUGCCUUGGCAGUCAGAGGCGAUGAAAGACGUGAUAGCCUGCGAAAAGCUCCGGGGAGGCGGCAAAUAUCCUUUGAUCCGGAGAUGUCUGAAUGGGGGAACCCACCUACUUUAAGGUAGGUAUUGCAACAUGAAUACAUAGUGUUGCAAGGCGAACGAGGGGAAGUGAAACAUCUCAGUACCCUUAGGAAAAGAAAUCAAUUGAGAUUCCCUCAGUAGCGGCGAGCGAACGGGGAUCAGCCCAUUAAGUUAUGUGUGUUUUAGUGGAACGCUCUGGGAAGUGCGAACGUAGAGGGUGAUAUUCCCGUACACGAAAGGGCACACAUAAUGAUGACGAGUAGGGCGAGGCACGUGAAACCUUGUCUGAAUAUGGGGGGACCAUCCUCCAAGGCUAAAUACUCCUGACUGACCGAUAGUGAACCAGUACCGUGAGGGAAAGGCGAAAAGAACCCCUGUGAGGGGAGUGAAAUAGAUCCUGAAACCGCAUGCAUACAAGCAGUGGGAGCACCUUCGUGGUGUGACUGCGUACCUUUUGUAUAAUGGGUCAGCGACUUAUAUUCAGUAGCGAGGUUAACCGUAUAGGGGAGCCGUAGAGAAAUCGAGUCUUAAUAGGGCGUUUAGUUGCUGGGUAUAGACCCGAAACCAGGCGAUCUAUCCAUGAGCAGGUUGAAGGUUGGGUAACACUAACUGGAGGACCGAACCCACUGUCGUUGAAAAGCCAGGGGAUGACUUGUGGAUAGGGGUGAAAGGCUAAUCAAGCCUGGUGAUAGCUGGUUCUCCCCGAAAGCUAUUUAGGUAGCGCCUCGGACGAAUACCAUAGGGGGUAGAGCACUGUUUCGGCUAGGGGGUCAUCCCGACUUACCAAACCGAUGCAAACUCCGAAUACCUAUGAGUACUAUCCGGGAGACAGACUGCGGGUGCUAACGUCCGUAGUCAAGAGGAAAACAAUCCAGACCGCCAGCUAAGGCCCCAAAAUCAUAGUUAAGUGGGAAACGAUGUGGGAAGGCAUAGACAGCUAGGAGGUUGGCUUAGAAGCAGCCACCCUUUAAAGAAAGCGUAAUAGCUCACUAGUCGAGUCGGCCUGCGCGGAAGAUGUAACGGGGCUAAAACUAUGUGCCGAAGCUGCGGAUGUAUACUUUGUAUACGUGGUAGGGGAGCGUUCUGUAAGCCGAUGAAGGUGUGUUGAGAAGCAUGCUGGAGGUAUCAGAAGUGCGAAUGCUGACGUGAGUAACGACAAAACGGGUGAAAAACCCGUUCGCCGAAAGACCAAGGGUUCCAGUCCAACGUUAAUCGGGGCUGGGUGAGUCGACCCCUAAGGCGAGGCCGAAAGGCGUAGUCGAUGGGAAAAUGGUUAAUAUUCCAUUACUUCUGUGUAAUGCGAUGAGAGGACGGAGAAGGCUAAAUCAGCCUGGCGUUGGUUGUCCAGGUGAAAGGAUGUAGGCAUGUAUCUUAGGCAAAUCCGGGGUACUCUAUGCUGAGAUCUGAUAGCAAGCUGUACUUGUACAGCGAAGUGGUUGAUGCCAUGCUUCCAGGAAAAGUCUCUAAGCUUCAGUUACACAGGAAUCGUACCCGAAACCGACACAGGUGGUCAGGUCGAGUAGACCAAGGCGCUUGAGAGAACUCUGCUGAAGGAACUAGGCAAAAUGGUACCGUAACUUCGGGAGAAGGUACGCUGUUGUUGGUGAUGGAACUCGCUUCCUGAGCUGACGACAGCCGCAGAAGCCAGGCCGCUGCAACUGUUUAUUAAAAACAUAGCACUCUGCAAACACGAAAGUGGACGUAUAGGGUGUGAUGCCUGCCCGGUGCUGGAAGGUUAAUUGAUGGGGUUAGCGUAAGCGAAGCUCUUGAUCGAAGCCCCAGUAAACGGCGGCCGUAACUAUAACGGUCCUAAGGUAGCGAAAUUCCUUGUCGGGUAAGUUCCGACCUGCACGAAUGGCAUAAUGAUGGCGGCGCUGUCUCCAGCAGAGGCUCAGUGAAAUCGAAAUCGCUGUGAAGAUGCAGUGUACCCGCGGCUAGACGGAAAGACCCCGUGAACCUUUACUGCAGCUUGACACUGAACUUUGACCUUACUUGUGUAGGAUAGGUGGGAGGCUUUGAAGCUGGAACGCUAGUUCCAGUGGAGCCGUCCUUGAAAUACCACCCUGGUAAUGUUGAGGUUCUAACUCUGUCCCGUGAUCCGGGACGAGGACCGUGUCUGGUGGGUAGUUUGACUGGGGCGGUCUCCUCCUAAAGAGUAACGGAGGAGUACGAAGGUGCGCUCAGCGUGGUCGGAAAUCACGCGUAGAGUAUAAAGGCAAAAGCGCGCUUAACUGCGAGACCCACAAGUCGAGCAGGUACGAAAGUAGGUCUUAGUGAUCCGGUGGUUCUGUAUGGAAGGGCCAUCGCUCAACGGAUAAAAGGUACUCUGGGGAUAACAGGCUGAUACCGCCCAAGAGUUCAUAUCGACGGCGGUGUUUGGCACCUCGAUGUCGGCUCAUCUCAUCCUGGGGCUGAAGCAGGUCCCAAGGGUAUGGCUGUUCGCCAUUUAAAGAGGUACGCGAGCUGGGUUUAGAACGUCGUGAGACAGUUCGGUCCCUAUCUACCGUGGGCGCUGGAAAUUUGAGAGGAUCUGCUCCUAGUACGAGAGGACCAGAGUGGACGAACCUCUGGUGUACCGGUUGUGACGCCAGUCGCAUCGCCGGGUAGCUAUGUUCGGAAGGGAUAACCGCUGAAAGCAUCUAAGCGGGAAGCCUACCUCAAGAUAAGAUUUCCCUAGGACUUUAUGUCCUCUAAAGAGCCGUUCGAGACUAGGACGUUGAUAGGUUGGAUGUGGAAGCAUAGUGAUAUGUGAAGCUGACCAAUACUAAUUGCUCGUGAGGCUUGACUAU
rnacentral:rRNA from 1 species